AGUGAACGCUGGCGGUAGGCCUAACACAUGCAAGUCGAACGGCAGCACAGUAAGAGCUUGCUCUUACGGGUGGCGAGUGGCGGACGGGUGAGGAAUACAUCGGAAUCUACUUUUUCGUGGGGGAUAACGUAGAGAAACUUACGCUAAUACCGCAUACGACCUACGGGUGAAAGCAGGGGAUCUUCGGACCUUGCGCGAUUGAAUGAGCCGAUGUCGGAUUAGCUAGUUGGCGGGGUAAAGGCCCACCAAGGCGACGAUCCGUAGCUGGUCUGAGAGGAUGAUCAGCCACACUGGAACUGAGACACGGUCCAGACUCCUACGGGAGGCAGCAGUGGGGAAUAUUGGACAAUGGGCGCAAGCCUGAUCCAGCCAUACCGCGUGGGUGAAGAAGGCCUUCGGGUUGUAAAGCCCUUUUGUUGGGAAAGAAAAGCAGCAGGUUAAUACCCCGCUGUUCUGACGGUACCCAAAGAAUAAGCACCGGCUAACUUCAUG
rnacentral:rRNA from 1 species